rnacentral:rRNA from 1 species
UACAGAGGGGGCGAGCGUUGUUCGGAAUUAUUGGGCGUAAAGCGCUUGUAGGCGGCACGUCAAGUCGCGUGUGAAAUCCCCAGGCUUAACCUGGGAAGUGCGCGCGAAACUGACGAGCUUGAGUGCCGGAGAGGGUCGCGGAAUUCCCGGUGUAGAGGUGAAAUUCGUAGAUAUCGGGAGGAACACCAGUGGCGAAGGCGGCGACCUGGACGGACACUGACGCUGAGACGCGAAAGCGUGGGGAGCAAACAGG